UACGGGGGGGGCAAGCGUUGUUCGGAAUUAUUGGGCGUAAAGGGCUCGUAGGCGGCCAACUAAGUCGGAUGUGAAAUCCCCAGGCUCAACCUGGGAACUGCAUCCGAUACUGGAUGGCUUGAAUCCGGGAGAGGGAUGCAGAAUUCCAGGUGUAGCGGUGAAAUGCGUAGAUAUCUGGAGGAAUACCGGUGGCGAAGGCGGCAUCCUGGACCGGCAUUGACGCUGAGGAGCGAAAGCUAGGGGAGCAACGGGG
rnacentral:rRNA from 1 species